UAAUCCGACCUAGGCUCAUCCAUUAGCACGAGGUCUUACGAUCCCCCGUUUUCCUCCGUAGAGCGUAUGCGGUAUUAGCCCGGCUUUCGCCGGGUUAUCCCCCACAAAUGGGCAGAUUCCGAUGUAUUCCUCACCCGUCCGCCACUCGUCAGCACCCUUGCGGGCCUGUUACCGUUCGACUUGCAUGUGUUAGGCAUGCCGCCAGCGUUCAAUCUGAGCCAGGAUCAAACUCU
rnacentral:rRNA from 1 species